UACGUAGGGUGCAAGCGUUGUCCGGAAUUAUUGGCGUAAAGAGCUCGUAGGCGGUUUGUUGCGUCGGCUGUGAAAUCCCGAGGCUCAACCUCGGGUCUGCAGUCGAUACGAGCAAACUAGAGUGUUGCAGGGGAGACUGGAAUUCCUGGUGUAGCGGUGAAAUGACGCAGAUAUCAGGAGGAACACCGGUGGCGAAGGCGG
rnacentral:rRNA from 1 species